AUAUCCUAAAAGUUCAAUUUAUACACAAAAAUUUCAAUUCAUAUCUUAAAAGUUCAAUUCAUAUCCUAAAAUUUCAAUUCAUAUCCACAAAAGUUCAAUUCAUAUCUUAAAAUUUCAAUUUAUAAACUAAAAUUUCAAUACAUAAACUAAAAGUCCAAUUCAUAUCCUAAAGGUUCAAUUCAUAUCCUAAAGUCCAAUUCAUAUCCUAAAGGUUCAAUUCAUAUCCUAAAGGCUCAAUUCAUAUCCUAAAUUUUCAAUUCUUGCACAAAAAUUACAAUUCAUAUCCUAAAGGUAAUUCAUAUCCUAAAAUUUCAAUUCAUAUCCACAAAAGUUCAAUUCAUAUCGUAAAAUUUUAAUUUACAAACUAAAAUUCCAAUACAUAUACUAAAAGUCCAAUUCAAUUCAUAUCCUAAAAGCUCAAUUCAUAUCCUAAAAGCUCAAUUCAUAUCCUAAAAGUCCAAUUCAUAUCCUAAAGGUUCAAUUCAUAUCCUAAAGGUUCAAUUAAUAUCCUAAAAGUUCAAUUCGUAAAUUAAAAGUUCAAUUUAUAAACUAAAUUCCAAUACAUAAACUAAAAGUCCAAUUUAUAUCCUAAAAAUUCAAUUCAUAUCCUAAAGGCUCAAUUUAUAUCCUAAAAGUCCAAUUUAUAUCCUAAAGAUUCAAUUCAUAUCCUAAAUGCUCAAUUCAUAUCCUAAAAUUUUAAUUCAUACACAAAAAUUUCAAUUCAUAUCCUAAAAUUGCAAUUCAUAUCCUAAAAUCAAUUUAUAAACUAAAAUUCCAAUACAUAAACUAAAAGUCCAAUUCAUAUCCUAAAAGUCCAAUUCAUAUGCUAAAGGCUUAAUUCAUAUCAUAAAUGUUAAAUUCAUACAUAUAAAUUUCAAAUCAUAUCCUAAAAUUUUAAUUAAUAUUCACAAAAGUUCAAUUCAUAUCCUAAAAUUUCAAUUUAUAUCCUAAAAUUUCAAUUUAUAAACUAAAAUUCCAAAACAUAAACUAAAAGUCCAAUUCAUAUCUUAAAAUUUCAAUUCAUAUCCUAAAAUUUUAAUUUAUAGCCUAAAAUACCAAUACAUAAACUAAAAGUCCAAUUCAUAUCCUAAAAGUCCAAUUCAUACCCUUAAGGCUCAAUUCAUAUCCUAAAAGUUCAAUUCAUAUCCACAAAAGUUCAAUUUAUAUCCUAAAAUUUCAAUUUAUAAACUAUAAUUCCAAUACAUAAACUAAAAGUACAAUUCAUAUCCUAAAAUUUCAAUUCAUAUCAACAAAAAGUUCAAUUCAUAUCCUAAAAUUUCAAUUUAUAGCCUAAAAUACGAAUACAUAAACUAAAAGUCCAAUUCAUAUCCUAAAGACUCAAUUCAUAUCCUAAAAGUUUAAUUCAUACACAAAAAUUUCAAUUCAUAUCCUAAAGGUUCAAUUCAUAUCCUAAAAUUUCAAUUUAUAUACACAAAAGUUCAAUUCAUAUUCUAAAAUUUAAAUUUAUAACCUAAAAUUCCAACACAUAAACUAAAAGUCCAAUUCAUAUCCUAAAAGUCCAAUGCAUAUCCAAAAGGCUCAAUUCAUAUCCUAAAAGUACAAUUCAUACACAAAAAUUUCAAUUAAUAUCCUAAAAUUUUAAUUCAUAUCCACAAAAUUUCAAUUCAUAUCCUAAAAAUUCAAUUUAUAAACUAAAAUUCCAAUACAUAAAAUAAAAGUCCAAUUUAUAUCCUCAAAGUCCAAUUCAUAUCCUAAAGGCUCAAUUCAUAUCCUAAAAGUUUAAUUCAUACACAAAAAUUUCAAUUCGUAUCCUAAAAGUUCAAUUCAUAUCCUAAUUUCAAUUCAUAUCCACAAAAGUUCAAUUUGUAUCCUAAAAUUUCAAUUUAUAAACUAAAAUUCU
rnacentral:lncRNA from 1 species